UAUACAUAAAUGAUCGCCGGGCUUAAAGGAUGUGUCGCUGAUCAAAUUAUCAAGUUAUCUGGUGGCGCCCAGUUUUUUUUUAUUGGUAGAAGAGAGAGCCCAGACACACCAACGCGAGCAGGAUUCAACCCGCGCCAACCCGAGAAUCACUGGAUCAAUUUCAAAUUUAGCCCAAAGCGCCAUUCAGUAAAAGAGAUACACGUAUAUUCAAAAUGACAAAUGAAGUGUCACCCAGCUUCCAAGGGAGAUAAUUAACAACAAUGCAUUAUCUUGGUACAUGUAUUUCAAGUGAAAAGGUCACAGGGCUUUCUACCAUGCAAGUAGAGAAUCCUUGUGUCUUAUAGUCAUUAAACAGACAAACUCCAUAUCCAGAGAAACCUGUCUACAACCAAGAGGAAAAGAAUCCAUGAAAAUGGGUAAAUAUUAAUACAGUGUAUACUAUUACAGGUGUGGUUUCAGCUCACCAGAGCUUUUCCGAAAGAAUUUUGUCAUGUUUGUCUGCUACCUUUUCAAAUUAUUGACAUAUUUUUAAAAAUAGAUUUUGCAACUUUAUCCAGUUCACAAUUUUGUAACAAAGCAUCUUUCGAUGCUCAUACUUGACACCAAGUUGCUGAUGAAUUUAUGGUAGGUCACGAUCCUCGCACAGUGCCAUCAUCAGAGGCGAAUCAAGGAAUUUUUGAAAGGGGUUCUACCAUUAAUUUUGGUAUUCUAAGGUGGAGGAUCUACCCUCAAAAUGCAUUAUUUUUACCUUUUGAGCUAAAUUUUCUGACGAAAGGGGGCCUCUAAUCGCAGAAACCUCUCCCCUCCCUUGGGAUCCGCUACUAAUCAUAACUUAUGAAUAGUUUGUGACCUAUUUAUAAAUCAUGAUACUAUACCAAGGUCACUUUGAAAAUGUUUUUGUCACAGCUAUGCAUUUAUGAUGAAUAAUGAGGAAUGUAAAUCAUCUUAAUCACCUUGAUAGAACAUGACAAAACAUAUCUCUGACGUUGAAAUAAAAAAUAUGCUAGAAUUCCUCAUUGACAAUAUAUUCGUGGUCUUUGGUGAUCAGGUCUUCCAACAAUCUGUUGGAAUUCCGUUGGGCACGAAUUGUGUUCCUUUGUUAGCUGACAUGUUUCUAUAUUCAUAUGAAGCAAAAUUUAUUCAAAAACUUAUACAUGAGAAGAACAAAUCUCUUGCUCUGGCCUUCAAUUCGACAUUUAGAUAUAUCGACGACGUAAUAAUUUUCAUUCAUAUGUCGAUUCGAUAUAUCCCUGUGAGCUCGAAAUAAAAGACACCACAGAGUCGUCCAUUUCUGCUUCAUACUUAGAUAUUUUAUUGAAAGUAGACAUUAACGGGAAACUGACAACUCAACUGUAUGACAAACGGGAUGAUUUCAGCUUCUCCAUCGUCAACUUCCCAUAUUUAUGUAGCAAUAUUCCAUUAUCACCUGCAUAUGGUGUUUCUAUCUCUCAACUGAUUUGAUACGCAAGAGCUUGUUCUGCGAAUAGUCAGUUUUUAAAUCGAGGCAAGCUACUUACAAACAAGUUGAUGGUACAGGGGUUUUAACAGUCUCGACAGAAGUCAGCAUUUCACAAAUUCCAUGGUCGUUAUAACGAUCUAGUUUGUCAAUACAACCUAGCAUUGGGUCAAAUGCUGUCUGACGUGUUUCAUAGCGAUUGUUAGGCCGUUCUUGACACACUGAUUUUGACUACGGAUAACUCCGUUUACCUGAUCAGGAUAUAGGACUCACGACGGGUGUGACCGGUCGACUAGGGAUGCUUACUCCUCCUAGACACCUGAUCCCAUCUCUGGUGUGUCUAGGGAUCCGUGUUUGCCCAACUCUCUAUUCUGCAUUGCUUAUAGGAGUUAUGAGAUUGAUCACUGUUCCUUAUCUUCACCUUUCAUCUCAUGGUUUCCACAUCAAAAAUUGUAAUAAAGAAUACAUGGAAUAAAUAUUUUAAAAUCUUCUCAAGAACCAAUUAUCUGUCAGUGAUUUACAUUUUUAUUCGUCUCCAGAACUAUUUUGCGUAUCCUCAACUUUAACUUUGGUCAGAUUUUAAAUUUCACCUGGUAUAAACUUCAUACCUGGUAAACAGAUAGGCCAGUCAGUGUAUGACUGCUAAAAGUCAAUGUGACCAAUUUUGGCAUAUGUUGAUAAGCUUUAGGGCAUUGUACAUAAUUUUAACUCAUAAAAUGAUUUAAAAAUCAUUACAAAUUUCUAGCAAUGAUUUGUUAAUCUAAUUGUUAGUUUUUCCAACCAAAUAUAUUCCAUAUUCAUGUAGGUGAUUGAAUUCAUUUUUGUGUUGGGUGCGAAUGUGAUUUUAUAAUAUAAAACUGUAUGACACAAUUGAUGCUCAAGUUAUAUUAAGGUCACAUGUGAAUAUUCUGACAAAUAUGGUAAAUCGUAACUCGUAUUUAUUUUCUCUCUCUCCCAAUGAAAAUUAUAGAUUAUAUCAUUGUCAAUGUGUUGUUGAUUUUAAAUUCAAAUAAAGUGGAUAGUGUUUCACAUUGAAAUUCAUGUUGCUAACUAGGUCUUAUUCCAGAGAGAUACGUUGUUUUUGUACAUUCUGUCAGUCUGUUCGUCUGUCUGUCACAAAAAUGUUGUGAUUGUCUCUCCUAAAUGGCCUAGUGGAGAACCUUGGAAACUGUGUACAAUGUUUCAUUGUCAUUGGUAGAUGUACAUACUGUCAGGACAUGAAGAUACAAUUAUUUUCUUAAAAGGUAUAGUGAAUCUAAGAGGGAUGGAGGGUGUAUAAUAGUUUGUGAACACUUCCCCUCCUAUAUUGCUUAACUUAUAUGCUUGAAACUUUGUUCAAUACUUCAUUGUUAUUUGUAGAUACAUGUAUGCAUAUUGUCAGGAAAUGAGGAUCCAAUUAUUUGCCUCAAAGUUAUCUAUUGGAUCUGAGAUGGACAGAUAGUGGAUCUAAGAGGGACAGAUGGUUUAAAAUAACUUGUUAAUGUGAACACAUUUACUCCUGUAUGACUUGUCGGAUAGCUUUGAAAUUUAGAAAAAUAUUUCAACAUCAUUUAAUUUGAUGAUGUUCACACUGUUCUGAACCAGGAAUAAUAAUAUUUUCCUACAAUUUACAAUGGGUCAAAGAGGAGUGUGUUAUAUAAUUGUUGGGUUUUUUUUUUUAAUAUAGAGGGGUAUAUAUUCACUUUCAAACUCGUACUUCAGCAUAACAGUCCUUGUUUUUUGCAUCAUACUGACUGUUAUGCUGUUCUUGACACACUGAUUUUGACUACGGAUAACUCCGUUUACCUGAUCAGGAUAUAGGGCUCACGGCGGGUGUGACCGGUCAACAGGGGAUGCUUACUCCUCCUAGGUAUCUGAUCCCACCUCAGGUAUGUCCAGGGUCUGUGUUUGCCCAACUCUCUAUUAUGCAUUGCUUAUAGGAGUUACGAGAUUGAUCACUGUUCCUUAUCUUCACCUUUCAUUAUUUUUGUCUUUUUCAGAAUCAAAGGAAAAGGAUGAACAAAGUUCUUCUGAAAUAGAGUAUU